rnacentral:rRNA from 1 species
GACGAACGCUGGCGGCGUGCCUAAUACAUGCAAGUUGAGCGCUGAAGGCUGGUACUUGUACCAACUGGAUGAGCAGCGAACGGGUGAGUAACGCGUGGGGAAUCUGCCUUUGAGCGGGGGACAACAUUUGGAAACGAAUGCUAAUACCGCAUAAAAACUUUAAACACAAGUUUUAAGUUUGAAAGAUGCAAUUGCAUCACUCAAAGAUGAUCCCGCGUUGUAUUAGCUAGUUGGUGAGGUAAAGGCUCACCAAGGCGAUGAUACAUAGCCGACCUGAGAGGAUGAUCGGCCAGAUUGAGACUGAGACACGGCCCAAACUCCUACGGGAGGCAGCAGUAGGGAAUCUUCGGCAAUGGACGAAAGUCUGACCGAGCAACGCCGCGUGAGUGAAGAAGGUUGUCGGAUCGUAAAACACUGUUGGUGGGGAAGAACGUUGGUGAGAGUGGAAAGCUCAUCAAGUGACGGUAACUACCCAGAAAGGGACGGCUAACUACGUG